GAUGAACGCUGACAGAAUGCUUAACACAUGCAAGUCUACUUGAACUUCGGUUUGGGUGGCGGACGGGUGAGUAACGCGUAAAGAACUUGCCUCACAGUUAGGGACAACAUUUGGAAACGAAUGCUAAUACCUGAUAUUAUGAUUUUAGGGCAUCCUAGGAUUAUGAAAGCUAUAUGUGCUGUGAGAGAGCUUUGCGUCCCAUUAGCUAGUUGGAGAGGUAACGGCUCACCAAGGCGAUGAUGGGUAGCCGGCCUGAGAGGGUGAACGGCCACAAGGGGACUGAGACACGGCCCUUACUCCUACGGGAGGCAGCAGUGGGGAAUAUUGGACAAUGGACCAAAAGUCUGAUCCAGCAAUUCUGUGUGCACGAUGACGCUUUUCGGAAUGUAAAGUGCUUUCAGUUCGGAAGAAAAAAAUGACGGUACCAACAGAAGAAGUGACGGCUAAAUACGUG
rnacentral:rRNA from 1 species